AUAACACGCAGUGCCUGCUCAGCACAUUUCAUCACCAUCCAUUCCGUUUGCUGCUGCCUCCUGAGGCAGUUCAGCCGUCUGGGAGAUCUUUCUGCUUUUUCUGCAACUUCUCCUGGUUUCCCUCUGCUUUGGGACGCACCGAGCCCUUUAGGGGCUGCCUUCCGAGCUCGGGGCUGUGCAGCCCGCGCCCAGCUUCGCGCUGAUGGCCGCUCGCGCGCGUGCCUGCGUGGAGCAGAGCACCUGGCGGCCCGCGGUGCACGCGGCGCCCGCCCUCAGCGCUUGUCCCGCCCUGCCCGCCCCCAGCGAGCGCCCUCAUGGGCGGCCGGUCCGAGGCAGCCCCCGCCGGGGCGCUGCCGGGUUCCGUAUCUCCCCGUCUGUGCGUGUUUUCGGUCAAACCUGAGCAGAGAGGUUCCGCACCCCGGCCGCUGGCACGGGCUGAGUAGCGGAGUGCUCUCGCAGGUGCUGCUCGUUUCUCCAAGGCAGAGCGGCUGGAGCCUUCUGGAAGGUGAAGGCAGCGAAUUUCUGUAUGAAUAGUCACCAGUCUUGAAGAGAAAAGAAGAGAAGGCUGGUGAUCUGGGCUUCCAUGCUGCAGGAUGCUUUGCUUUUGGCUCCAAGCCCAGCAUCUCAGCAUACUCUUCUUCAUGGAGUUGAAUUUUCCUGUCUCUGCCUGUUUUUCUAUUUGCCUUCUGCUUUUUAAUCCAAGCAAGAUUUUAUUUGGAUGAUAAGCAUGGGCAGGCCAGCCCUCUGCUUGCAUGGUGAGAAAUGUCAUUUUCUUCCAACUCUGCUUAGCUUUCCCUCUGUGGAGCUGAGAUUAAGUUAGUUCCGAUACUGUCACACUGCAGCAUGGACCAAAGUAGGGAGCUUAGGAAGGCAGAAAAAAAUUAGUAAUAAUCUAACCAGAAAAGUGUUUCCUUUUUUUUAGAAGAUUUUAUUCAGAUAAAAUAAUAUUUACUUUUUUAAAGAAAUCUAAAUCUGGAGUCUAAAGAAUUCAUCAAAUAAUUAUUUUUCCUGUUAUUUUUCAUCAGUCAGAGAGCUUUUAGAAGACCUGCAUCUAUUUGCAUUCUCCAGAAUUAUCCUAUUGUGUGUACUGGAGAACUCCUGUGAGUGUCUGAGAAGACCUAAGGACACAGAACAGGCAUGACAUCGGGCUGGCUCUGCUCACAAGCCUCACUCACAGGAGAUGUGGUCUCACCAGGUUCGCUGGAGGCAGCUUUCAGCAUAAGUUGGAGGGAUAUAGGCUUGCUUGGAUCCACACUGAUGGGCUGCAGUUUUUGAAAAAUGUAAAUACAGAUUAUGCUCUUGUAAGAUUCAAAGAGAUCAGCUGUUUUAAAAGCAACUGUUGAGAAAAGUAAUUUUUAAAAAAAGUUAGCUGGCUUGGCAUACUGUCUCACCUCGAGGUGCAUUUAGGCCUAAAUGCAUUUACUCUUCAAGUAUCUUCCAACACACCCAUUAGUUUUCCAGAAAACUAAAAUUUCUAACUCUUUGCAGAAGUCAGUUUUCCCUUCGCAAAGCCUCAAACUGUGCACAGGUCUCCUUUACCAGCAUUGGGUGAAGCAACUGUUCCCACGUGCCACGUUAUCGCUCUCUGACAGUUGACAGCAGAGCUUUUUAUGUUUGUUCUCCUUAAUCUAUUUGAGUACAGAGAUCUGGUUUAGUGAAGGUGAGCACUUUUUAAACCAUUUAAAAUAACCUAUGUGUUACAGAUUAAAAGAGGUUAUGGAACACAGACUAGCAGUUCUCUGGCAAAUAUGAGGGACUGUUACACUCUGAUCUGGAGUGGCAAGGCAAGUGCAUGUCCCACAGGAAAAGCUGCUUGCAUGGCUGCUCAUCUGUUAACACCUCCGCUGGCAAUUAUCCAGUAGUUGCUGGGGAAAUAAAUUGUAUUUAAAAAAAACA
ensembl:lncRNA